rnacentral:rRNA from 1 species
CGCACGAGAACUCUUUAGCUUGCUAAAGAUAGUAAAGUGGCGCACGGCUGAGUAACGCGUGGGUAAUCUACCUUUGAAUCCGGGAUAACUCCGCGAAAGCGGGGCUAAAACCGGAUAACAUCUCAAAAUCCUCGGUUUUUGAGAUCAAAAGUGGCCUCAGCAUGUAAGCUACUGUCGGAGAUGAGCCCGCGGUGGGAGCAGCUCGCUGGCAGGGUAAUGGCCUACCAACGCAACGAUGGUGAGCUGGUCCGCCAGGAUAGAUCAGCCACACUUGGAACUGACACACGGUCCAGACUCCUAGGGGAGAGCAGCAGCGGGGAAUAUUGCCGCAAUGGAGGAAACUCUGACGCAGCAACGCCGCGUGGGUGAUGAAGGCCUUCGGGUUGCAAAACCCUGUUGUGCGAGACGAAGCCGACAAGCGGCCUGACGGUAUUGCCGAGG